GUCUGCCAUGCGAGGAAUGUGCAGAGCGGACAUCGUCCGGAAACUUUCUUUAUUCAAAGAUCCUAAAAAAAGAGGGGAUCUGGUAUUUAUUCAAUGGCGUCCGUGUGCGACCUGUGGGACCAAAUGGAAGAACAGUUGGGAGCCUUUGUCCUGCCUUUGAGAUGUUGGAGUUAGCACCAGUUUGGAAUUUGCCAUUGUAAUUUUAAUCAGUCUAAAUAAAAAAGAAUAUAAUU